rnacentral:lncRNA from 1 species
ACCAGUGUUGUGGUGACGACCGCCUGUGAGCUACAGAGUCUGCUGGGAAAGCAUCGACCCAAACUUCCACCAUCACUGAGCGGGAAGAGAGAAUGAAGAGGUUGGGGAAUCUGAUAAUUGAUCUCUAGAAGAUGAUCUGUGAGAGGGAUGAACUUCAUUCAGUCUUGACCCAUUACACCAAAAAGGAUUUGAACCACAGGUCUGAAAUACUCCGGCAGAAGAUCAAACAGGGCAUAGACAAGUGCUCUCUCAGACAGAACUCUUCAAGGGGAGCACUGGGUGUGCAAAGACUCACAUGAAGACCAAGCUGCACAUCUGCUACACAUCUGGGAGGCCUAGGUGCAGCCUGUCUAUGUUCUUUGGUUGAUGGUUCAGACUCUGAGAGACCCAAGGGUCCAGCCUGCCAUCCCAGGGGACUUCCAUUCUCCUGCUGCCUCUCCUCUACCUCCAUCAGACUCCUGAACCAUACAGUUUUCAGAACAAUCAACACUUGCUGAGUUUUUGGAAAAAAUAGAGUCCAAGGAUCCCAUAAACUGUUCAACAUGAAGCCCUAAUUCCAGUGGAAAGAAUAAUGGUGAAUUUUAUGUGGUUAAUCUGUGCCGAGAGGUUUCAGCAAAUGGUGUAAUUUGAGGUAAUUCGGUGUUAAAGAAGCAUGUGAAAGAUUAGUGCUAACUUUGAAGAUGUAUGCUCCUAAAAUAUGCAGCAUGAGUUACCAAAGACUGAUCUAGACACCCAUCUAUAGCCUAUAAACCACUGACUUGAUCUCUGUUGUGUGUGGCAUUCAGGAUUUAUCCAGGAUAUGAAGUGUAUACUCCACAAGUAAGCUAAAUCCAGUGUCAAUGAGAGAAUUUACGAUUCAUAUUCCUCUCUUGAUAAAACAUUCUAUGAAUGGUGGCUGCUUACAUUUUAAAAUUUAAGAAUGACCUGAAAACACUAACAGUUGAAUCUCACUGUGUAAACACAUUUCGGAGAUGUCUUCUGGCUCAAUUUUGACCCCGUGUGCCUGCAGUUGCUCAGUUCUAAGGCUGUGAGAUUAUACCAGGUCAUUCUUGCAUAUAACUGUCUAGGGACAGGAAGAGCUUUGAGAAUUCUUAAAGCUGAGAAUCUAAGAAUCUUCACUGUAAGAAGCUUAAAGUGAAAAGCACAGACUUGGGAAUGGACAAAGCCUUCAGUUCAUAAAACUGAGCAGCCAGUUCAGAGCCAAGGAGAACUCUAUCCAGACAAGCACUGUUAUGUGCAGGAUAUGUUAGUAAAAUAAAAAAAAAAAAAAGCUGCAGCCUUCAGGAAGACUUUUGGUGCUAGAAAUUGCAUGCUACAAAAUUUUGAUACAUAUCAAGAAAAUAAGCUUUGAAAUGAUUAUCUCCUUAGGAGUGGAAAGAUUUGAACUGAGUAGAUGCUGUGGCCCUGGUAGAAAAGGGAAGUGAGUUUUCACACAGAGAUAAGAACUGCCCUCUUGCUGAAUAUGCACUUGAGUGGGACUCAGUGAAGUGCUGAGGCACAAGAGCUGCUGGGCAUCCAGGAGGAAUCUGAGAGUGUACAUUGUUGCUUGUCCUGAUGGGUCAUCAAGAGAAUUUAAAAGACUUUGAGCUAAAGCAUGUAACAUGUCUCAUGCUUAGCGUUGGCAGACCUUAUUCUUGAACCCUACACCCCAUCCAGGAAGCAUGUUGCAUCUUAAGAGUAUUGCCAUUAGUGACUGCAUUUCUGUUAUGUUUCCAAGGCCAGCCACAGGCUGUAGGUCUGUGCUGCUAAAUCUGCAGCAAGAGAAUAAUGCUUAGCUUAAUCAUUUUUGGGGGUGGUGGUGGUGGUGCUUGGUUUGAGGUUUUGCUAUUUGUUUUUUUUGUUUUUUUUGUUGUUGUUCUUGUAAUUGAUUUGCUUUGGUUCUAGGGCACUGCAUGUAUUGACUGCCCCCAUUUAAGCCCUACUGAGUGAAAUGAAUGUAUUUUUAUAAAUAAAAAAGUUAUCUCCAAGUCUUCACUCCUAAGUACAUUGUUUAUUUAAGUGUGGUGUCACAGUCCUGUAAUCCUAGAACCCAAAAGAUGUCUCUCUGCAAGUUACAUGGGGCUUAGACUUCAUAAUGAGUUCCAAGCCAGCCAGAGAUACACAUGGUAUUGUACUUUUGAUGUGAACAGUGUGUCUAACUUUGUGGAUACCAACUUAAUGAUAGAAAAAGUAUACAUGAUAUUUCCUUGUCAUGUACUUUGCUACCACUAAAAGUACUGUGUAUGAUUGUGUUGGCCAAAUUGAGAAGCACAACAGUAUUUCUCUAAUAUCUUCCAGGAAAU